AAACAUUUGAAAUGAAUGACUCAACACUACACCAGUGAAAUGUGGUAGAAGACAGACAAAUCCUCUUACCCUUGUAGUGAUGCACUUACUGAGGCUGGUGAGAUGAGAUGAAAACAGAAGAACAUAAUAGAAAAGAAAGACUUCCAUGGGUCUGAGAAGAUGGCUCAGCAGCUUUACUCAGGACGGGUUCCUGUGCGCUGUGCAGUGAUUCAGAGAUUUCUAACUUGUCAACGUGCUGAUACUCAACGACCUGUGAAUUUUAAGUUCUCAACUGGACGUCUGGAGCCGAUGAGGCAGCUCAGUGGGAAAAGGCUUGCAGUGUGGUGACUACAAUUUGAUUCUUGGACCCCUUGUGAAGUCAGAAGGUCAGAGCUCUCUCUACAAAGCUGUCUUCUGAACUCCACCUGGACACUGUGUCAUGUAUAUCCAUUCUAUCCUCUAUACACCAAUAAAGUUUAAAAACUUAAAAGGAGAAUCAAGAUCACCCCCUCCAAGGCCCAGGGAACAGAAGUGAGGGCAGAGUUUAAGAGCCCAAGGAUUUGAGUGUCAUGGAAUUUUUUUUCUGGGUGUGAUGUGGUCAUGGCACUCUUUUACUUACGGAUUGUCUGUGGCUAGUUGGAAAGAAGUGGAAUCAAGGGAGUGUGAAUGGGAUAAGAGAGGGUACUGGUGCUUAAUAUGAUCAAAACAAAUAUAACUAUAGACAUUACAUACAUGUCAUAAUGAAAUAUGGGUUUUUUAAAAAAGAUUUAUUUAUUACAUAUACAGUGUUCUGCCUGCAUGUAUGCCUGCAGGCCAGAAGAGGGCACCAGAUCUCAUUACAGAGGGUUGUGAACCACCAUGUGGUUGCUGGGAAUUGAAUUCAGGACUUGUAGAAAAGCAGCCAUCCUCUUAACCUCGGAGCUAUCUCUCCAGCCUGAACAUGUCAUAAUGAAACAUUAUUACAUACAAUUUGUAUGUGGUAAUAAGAUAUUUAUGAAAGACAGUGGCUGUCACUAAAAAGACACACUAUGAGAUUGAGAACAAACAACUUGUGAGAACUUGUGAGAUGAUGCCGGGACUCUCAGAAGACUCUGGAGUUGUUUACAAAAGAUUGUGUCUGAUGAAGGCGGUAUAAGGCUGCCUUCAAGUAUUCAAGCUGAACUUUCUUUUGCAAUGCUGUGUUUCACUACCUUGUGUGUCUUUUGUGAUCAUUUGGAAUUCAGGGGGAAUACUGUCUCAUGCUCCUCAGCUAAACACACACAGUGUAAUUGAUGUCCUUUGCUCACCACUACUAAAAUGUCUCAUGGCUUGGUUGGUAAUUUUUAUGUUCUUUGUGCAUCUGUUCAAAGCUCUCAAAUUUACUGCUUGAUAUCAAUAACUAUUUUUAUGUGAUAAUCCAGUUUACUUUAUAUAACACUCAAAUAAAUUUCUGAAUUCUGUGUUCUUUGAUGGCAAGUGUGGGUGUUAAUAAGAAAAGCAAAUCAUCAUUGGAUAGGAAGUUAAAUAUUUGCUUACCAGAUUAAACAAAAUUCCCAGCUUUGAAAAGGAAUUCUGUAUUUUUCCAUUUAAUUUUCAGGACAAAGAAAUAAUUUUAGGAGGACUAUCAAAGAUGCAGUUGUGGUUACUUUGCUAUUUGGCCCUUGUUCUGUAGUAAUUUAGUUUGAACAAGACCCAAGUGUGUGCUAUUCUUUGGCUUUAUAGCUUUCUAACCAUAGGCAUUGAUGGCAUUCACGAUUAUGGAUUAAAUAGGCCAACUCUCGUCAGUAAUUUGUUACAGAAUUCCCACAGAGA